AUGUCGAAUCAAUUGGAGCUUUUUGUGAUGGAAGUGUGCGUGUGCGCUUGUGUGCGAGUGCCCAGCAACCGGUGUAUGAGACUGGAAUGUCAAACUAGAAUAACUGAUAGUCCCUUUUACACAUUUGUGUUUUCCUUGUACCGUCACUGGGGUAUCCUGUAUAUAAUAUGGGGAUUCUGGCAAAAAUAGUUUUCAUAUUGAAUGUCUAAAUGAACGAUGCCUUUGAAACAGUGGUGUUUUCAUGGUUAUUUGAGGUUGGGCUUUGUGGUAAAUGAGGGAUUCAUUUCUGUUUUUCAGAGACUCUUGAUAUUGAGAAUAUUGAUAGUAUUAUAUUACCCAUUGCAUGGAACAUUGGAUCAUGAAGAAAGAGGUUGUUAGCCACUGAGAAUUAUGAAAAUAAUACCGCUGACAUUUGUCCUUUUUGCUUUCUUUGCAAAUACUUCUUCCAAUUGUUAUCAAAGUCAGCAUGAUGGGGAUACAUGCUUAUGUUUUUCUUUGCCAAUAAAUGUCUUUUUUUGCACAUUCCUUAAUUUUCUGUAAUAAAUCUCUGGAUCCCUUUUCAAUUGUGUCUGAAUGUUAACCAAUAUUAGAGUCAUGACAGAAACAAAGGUACAAAACCAGUAAAGCAAGUGAAUUUUAAGAUUAAAUACGCAUUAAAUCACUUUUGUUCUUUUCAGACUUGUUUUGUGAUUGAACAUCAUUUUUAGUAUUGGACUAAAAUGUCCUCCCGAGAAUCACUCAAGCCAUAUUAUUUCUCUGAACCACCCACGAUUUAUUGCAUUAGGAAAAACUACCAUUAUGAAUAAACCUUUUACGUGCAUGGAGCCCAGUGUCAUUAGAUAUGCUUGUUCUCUAAGUAGAUUAAUAGGGCAUUUUAAUCUUUUGCGAUGUAAAUUCCUUUCAAAUGCUUUUCAAACCCAAAACCUAGUUGUCCUGACUCUCUUUUAAUUUCCGGCCAUAUCAUGUAACAUCGUCACAAAUUCACUAUCUGUCUCCAAAAACACCCCCGCUUGACCAAACCACUCAGACUGAUCAUGACCUACUUCUAGGAACAAAAUGUCUCACUCAUCAGUUAUUCGGCAAGAGUUGGGGUAGAGGGAUCUCUGAAGGAUAAUCUGCUCUGUUCCUACAGAAUUAUAAUUCAUUUUCCAUUGUAAAACUGAAAUUGUCUCAUCUGUGUCAAUAAUAGCCAUUCUAAGUAAAGUAUCCAUAUUUUAUCCUGUUGGUAUGUUCACCACAACAUUUACAUUACAUUUGAGUCAUUUAGCCGACGCUCUUAUCCAGAGCGACUUACAGUAGUGAAUGCAUACAUUUCAUACAUUUUUAUUUUAUUUUUAUUUAUUUUUGCUCUCUCUGGCACAAUCUCAAUCCAUCUUUCCUUGAUUCCUCACAUCUUAUCGCCUCACCUCCUCAGAAUGCAUUGGAGAAGGUCAGAGGGGAGGGACCUUGGUUCAUCAUCUCCAAUACAAUUGAGAAGGAUGCACGGAGAUAGGAUGCAUGGAAUCAAAGAAAGACAAAUUGAGGCAGCUAAUGAGCUCAGCUAAUGCUGCAUUCGUAACCAAGUGGGAGGUGGGAAUUGACCAGUUUUAAAGUCAUAAAUAACAGUUGGAUGCAUUCACAUGCUAUGAACCCGUUGAGAAACGGCAGAUGGCUAAUGGCCAACAAGCUGAGUAAAAGUUCAGCUAUCAAGCCUCUAAACAAAUGAUGUUCAAAAACCAUAUUAAUUGAUUGCCUUUUAUAAAUAAAGUUUUAUUGCAUUUAACUGCUGUGAAGGCUGUUAUCAAGGUCAUUUCCUUAGUAGUUGAUGUCAGAAGUCAGCAGGUGAGAGAAAUGAGAGAGCUCAGGAUGAUAGACG
rnacentral:lncRNA from 8 species